UGGUUCUGGCAUCGAUGAAGAACGCAGCGAAAUGCGAUAAGUAAUGUGAAUUGCAGAAUUCAGUGAAUCAUCGAAUCUUUGAACGCGCAUUGCGCCCGCCAGUAUUCUGGCGGGCAUGCCUGUUCGAGCGUCAUUUCAACCCUCAAGCUCUGCUUGGUGUUGGGGACCGGCCGCAGCCUUCAGUGCUCUGCCGCCCCCUAAAUACAGUGGCGGUCCCGCCGCAGCCUCCUUUGCGUAGUAGUAAACCACCUCGCACACGGAACGCAGCGUGACCACGCCGUUAAACCCCCAACUUUCUGAAGUUUGACCUCGGAUCAGGUAGGAAUACCCGCUGA
rnacentral:misc_RNA from 1 species